GGAAUGUCUUAUUUGAGAAAGACAUGCAUAGACUCAGAUAUGACCAGACAGUUUUAAGGAACUAAGGUGGACUUUAUGAAACUUGGAGCCCUAUAGCCCUUUGGAACUGUUGGCCUGGUACCUUGCUUACAGAGUUCCCAACAGCCACACCAGGUGAGUAAAGAAUGUCACUUCCUGGCAGGUGCAGGAAUCUCAGGAUACUUUGGAGUCCUCAGGAAGAGGAAUUUGCCCAAAUCGACAGGUAUUGCACGCAUGUAUGCUGGCAAGUAUGUGGCUUGGCUUCUGGCCUAGAGAGGCUACUAAAAGUUCAACCUAGAGAUUCCUUAUAAGAAGUUCCAGCAAAGCUGAUUCUAAAAGAUCUGUAUGAUCACUCACUAUUCUUGCUGAGCUUACAUAAAUGAUUAGGCCAAGUUUGUUAAAGGUGGACUCAUUUUUCAAAUAAAUGAGUCCUGACUUGUCUCUUUGGAAAUGAAGGCUAUUUUAG